ensembl:lncRNA
CAGAGCUAUCAUGCAUCUGUUCAAGGCUCUUCCUUAGAGAUGAGUCAGACUUUUCUACUUAGUCUGCUCUAGGUUGGAGUAACAGCAACAGUCCAGGACUGCCUAACAGCCAGGCGUCCAUAACAAUAUGCUUUCUCUCCCCUCUAGCCUCUCACUGUCCUGGCAUUUCCUCUACGUUCAUGUCUUGCUAGAACGGUGUGAAUUGACAGAAUAUCUGCGGGGUUUUACGUAGUAUAUGGCUGCCCACAAGAUGUUUACUGAGUACCAUCUAUGUUCCAGGCACUCGACAUGGGAAUACCCAAAGCUGACCAGGAAUUUGUUCUCAAAGUGCUCACAGGGACCUAGACAAAUGCACAGGAACUUAGAAUCCAACCUGAACCAAACCCAGGAAGGCUUCCUGAAAGAGGCAAUCUCAAAAUGAAGACAAAAUCACAUUUAGAAUGGAUGAAUAAUAAGGUCCUAAUAUAUAGCACAGGGAACUAUAUUCAAUAUCCUGUGAUAAACCAUAAUGGAAAAGAAUGUUAAUAAAA